rnacentral:sRNA from 1 species
GUAGAACAGAAGAUACACAAAGUUUCUAACCAGACCCAAAACAGUAUUGUUUAUCCAAUUAAAAAUUAUGUGAUUUUAUGUUCUGCUGCCUUUUUUCUCCUAUAUAAGCUUAAUAUUCUCACCCCGUAACUCAAUUCUCCAACCAUCUCGAUAAUUUUUUUCAAUUUCUUUACCUCAAAGAUUUGAGAUCGUAGCAGAAAUCGUGAUCUACCCGUUGGAUUAGAAGCUGCUGCUAGACAUCAAAAUAUACUAGGGUGUAUGCGUGUGGUGGUAUUCAUAUUUAACUACGUGCCCUUUUAUGUUUUGACGAAAGAUUUUCUCUUCUGAUUACCAUGGAUCGUUGAAUUAUUAUAACCAUUUGAUAUUUUGAUGUUGGCUUGGCUCAAUCAAAUCAAAGUUCUUAGAGAUUGGAUGAGUUCUUUAGUCUGAUUGAGCCGUGCCAAUAUCAGUCAGAUUCAUUUCUAUAUAUGUUCUAAUAAUCAUGAUAGGC